rnacentral:tRNA from 1 species
GUUCUGUCGGUAGAACGGCGGACUGUUAAUCCGUAUGUCACUGGUUCGAGUCCAGUCAGAGGAGCCA